rnacentral:rRNA from 1 species
GAUGAACGCUGGCGGCGUGCCUAAUACAUGCAAGUCGAGCGAACAGAUGAGGAGCUUGCUCCUCUGACGUUAGCGGCGGACGGGUGAGUAACACGUGGAUAACCUACCUAUAAGACUGGGAUAACUUCGGGAAACCGGAGCUAAUACCGGAUAAUAUAUUGAACCGCAUGGUUCAAUAGUGAAAGACGGUUUUGCUGUCACUUAUAGAUGGCUCCGCGCCGCAUUAGCUAGUUGGUAAGGUAACGGCUUACCAAGGCGACGAUGCGUAGCCGACCUGAGCGGGUGGUCGGCCACACGGGAACUGAGGCACGGUCCAGACUCCUACGGGAGGCAGCAGUAGGGAAUCUUCCGCAAGGGGCGAAAGCCUAACGGAGCAACGCCGCGGGAGGGAUGAAGGUCUUCGGAUCGUAAAACGCUGUUAUUAGGGAAGAACAAAUGUGUAAGUAACUAUGCACGUCUUGACGGUACCGAAUCAGAAAGCCACGGCUAACUACGUG